GUGCUCAGCAGUACAUAUACUAAAACUGGGUCAGUACAGAGAAGAUUAGCAUGGGCCCUGCACAAAGGUGACAUGCAAAUUCAUGAAGCAUUUCUUAUUUUU